rnacentral:rRNA from 1 species
AUUGAACGCUGGUGGAAUGCUUUACACAUGCAAGUCGAACGGUAGAGGGGGCAACCCCUCGAGAGUGGCGAACGGGUGAGUAAUAUAUCGGAACGUGCCCAGUCGUGGGGGAUAACGUAGCGAAAGUUACGCUAAUACCGCAUACGAUCUAAGGAUGAAAGCGGGGGAUCGCAAGACCUCGCGCGAUUGGAGCGGCCGAUAUCAGAUUAGGUAGUUGGUGGGGUAAAGGCUCACCAAGCCAAAGAUCUGUAGCUGGACUGAGAGGACGACCAGCCACACUGGAACUUGUGAACGGUCCAGACUCCUACGGGAGGCAGCAGUGGGGAAUUUUGGACAAUGGACGCAAGUCUGAUCCAGCCAUUCCGCGUGCAGGAUGAAGGCCCUCGGGUUGUAAACUGCUUUUGUACGGAACGAAAAGGUCUCUCUUAAUACGGGGGGCUCAUGACGGUACCGUAAGAAUAAGCACCGGCUAACUACGUGCCAGCAGCCGCAGUAA